rnacentral:lncRNA from 1 species
CGUGGAUUUGUGUAGUUCUCGUGUGCUCCUCCGUAGUGUGUGCUGCCCCGUCCGUCGUCGUCGAGUCGUCGAGUCGCCCGCCGUCGUCGAGUCGCGUCGUUGUUGUCGUCGUUGUCGUCGCUGUGGGUCGUGCACUAGCAGCAACAGCAGCCGUAGCACCCGUAGCCGUCUCCGCCGCAGCAGCAGCAGCAGCAUCGCCGUACGCCGUAAGCCGUAAUUUACUACAAAAACGGAAAUGAAUAGCGUGGAAAACAAGUGUUGAAUAUCCCAUAUCCCCGAAUGUAUAAAACAAAUAAAGAAGAGCGAGCGACCCAUCUUUUCGGUAAUUGUUGAAUGUUUGACCCAGUGAUACGGCCAGCAGAUUUCCGCCACACCAAAAGAAAAAGUGUUGCACGUGUGGCAGGAACGAGAGACUCUGUCCUACUCCUACCCCAUAUCAAGUGUUGUGUGUUGCUGUGUUGUUAUGCAAAUCGCGUACGUCGUUUGAGGCAGCGGCAACAAUAACUGGGCUACAGCAAGCAGAGAGAAAAGAGAGUGUAAGAGAGAGAGAGACGGAGAGACGGAGAGACGGAGAAGUGGGUGUGUGAGUGAGUGUGUGAGUGCUAAGAGUGUGUGUGUGUAUGUGUGUGCGUACGCGCCCACAAUGCAUAAAUCAAAAAUACACAUUAUUGAGUCAUAAAUAAAGUUCCACGAGACGAAAAAGCAACGUUGCCAGCACCGAAGCCACCGCCACCGCCAACGCCAACGCCAGCGCCGCUCUCCCUUUGCUUUUGCUCUGCUCUGCUCCUCCGCCUUCGCGUUGCUACUUUAAAUAAAGCCCAAGGCGACUCUCCCCUCUCCACCCUCACAUUCACACACAUAUACCAAAUUUAUGCCUUCUCGCACUCUGGCCAUAUUUUUUGCUCAAUUGCUUUCGCAGCGCUAUUGAUCCUGAGAUCAGGAGCGGGAGCCUCAGCGCAGAGUUCUCCGCUGAUAUGAUGUGUGCCUCGUUGCCGCCGUUUGCUGCAUAAAACUUGCUCAAUUUUCUACACGCCCUCAAAAACAACAAUAAGAAACAGCAGCAACAGCAGCAGCCAGUUGCCUCUGCUCUCCAUAGAACCCCUUCGGGCACUGCUGCUUCUUUUAUUACAAAGGCCGUAAAAAACGCCAAAAAGUGGAGCGCC